AGAGUUUGAUCAUGGCUCAGAGCGAACGCUGGCGGCGUGCUUAACACAUGCAAGUCGAACGUGAAAAGGCUUCGGCCUGAGUAAAGUGGCGUACGGGUGAGUAACACGUAGGUAAUCUACCCUAAAGUCUGGAAUAACCUGCCGAAAGGCGGGCUAAUACGGGAUAGAGCGAGAGAUCCGUAGUUGGGUCUUUCGGGAAAGGGAGGCCGUAAGGUCCCUCGCUUUAGGAUGAGCCUGCGUCCCAUCAGCUAGUUGGUGAGGUAAAAGCUUACCAAGGCAAUGACGGGUAGCUGGUCUGAGAGGAUGAUCAGCCACACUGGAACUGAAACACGGUCCAGACUCCUACGGGAGGCAGCAGUGGGGAAUCUUGCGCAAUGGACGAAAGUCUGACGCAGCCACGCCGCGUGAGUGAAGAAGGCCUUCGGGUUGUAAAGCUCUGUCGAGCGGGACGAAAACCCCGGUGGUUCAUAGCCAUCGGGCUUGACGGUACCGCUAGAGGAAGCACCGGCUAACUCCGUGCCAGCAGCCGCGGUAAUACGGAGGGUGCAAGCGUUGCUCGGAAUUAUUGGGCGUAAAGGGCAGGUAGGUGGUCUCGUUUGUCAGGGGUGAAAGCCUUGGGCUUAACCCAAGAAGUGCCUUUGAAACGGCGAGACUCGAGUACUGGAGAGGUCGGUGGAAUUCCCGGUGUAGCGGUGAAAUGCGUAGAGAUCGGGAGGAACACCAGAGGCGAAGGCGGCCGACUGGACAGUUACUGACACUCAACUGCGAAAGCGUGGGGAGCAAACAGGAUUAGAUACCCUAGUAGUCC
rnacentral:rRNA from 1 species